rnacentral:lncRNA from 1 species
ACAAAAGGGGAAAUUUCUUUGAUUUGUUACAUGAUAGCAGCAUCUGAGUGAUUGGUAAGUAUCUUCUAUAUGAUAUAGGAGCAAAUUUCUGUUGCAGCUGCUUUAUCGGAAGUGCACUGCUUCAAUAAUGUCGGAUAUAACAAAGUAUGCCUCUAUAACAUUUCCUCUGCAUAUAUUCCCUUACAAACCGAAUUCAUUAAAUUAAUUAUCAUGCUACGUAACUGCCACACAUAUUCUUGCUAUAUCAGC